GCCCCAGUAGCGCAAUGGAUAGCGCAUUGGACUUCUAAUCCAAAGGUCGUGGGUUCGAAUCCCACCUGGGGUG
rnacentral:tRNA from 1 species